UGGGUGUUGGAAAAGAAAAGGCUGAAUUAUUGGAUUAUUCCUGUAGCUGUGCAGCUGGUAAAGGUGUUUGCAAUCACGUAGUUGCACUUCUUUACCAGACAGCACACCAGUCCCAACUCCAGGUGCCAAAUGUUCCUCCUGCACAGACCAAGAACACAGGGGAAACAUCCUGAACCUGUCAGCGACAUGGUGGUGCAGAAGCCUAAAACUAUGGGGAAAAGAUAUCUGCACUCCACACUUUACAGAGCUUACACAGAUCCUGACAUCAGGAGAAAAAUUACACCUGCUGGAGUCCCAACCACUUAUGGCUCUUGUCCUCGAUGGUCUUUCUGAUUUGGAGCUGGUUCCAUCCAAAUUUGGGCCUGUGUCACAGGGCUCACCAAUGUCUUAUCAGAGUCUGCCUCAGAAGUCCUCUGGUAGCACCAUUCUGCACCACUUGACUCCAGACUUCCCUUCUCCUCCUUUGACGCUUCCAAAUGUUUUAUGCUGUAAUGAAGGUCUUCAUUACUUGGAUGGAAAACACUUAAAAGGGUGUGUUGAAUGAUAAAAGAGACAGAAGGAAGUAUUUUAUUGUCUGUUUUUAUACGGUGGCAUUUCAGCUGGAACUGAUGAUGUCCCGUUAAAAUAAAACAAAUGAAUGGAAUGGGUCUCGUAACUGUUUGAAAUGCACUGAAAUGUUUGUGUAGAUGUAACUUACCUCUGUCUCAUCCUCUGCAGGGUGUUCAGGC